AAGCACUCUGAAGUUUUUCGAUAACAACGUCAACGAAAGUGAUCACGAAUUAUCUUUUCAUUUAAUUUCCGAUAGUCACAACACAAUCGUUUUUUCCCAUUCUUUUUCGAAACAAGCACCACUGGUGAUGCGUAUUCUGACACACUCGGCUUUAUAAUCUUGUCUCGCAAGCAUUCCUGAACUUGAUCAUCCACAAUCUUUUGUUCACACUGUGCCAAACGUCUUGGUUGUUGGAAUACUGGUUGUCGCGGAUCGAAUAUUGUUAUCGAUAGUUAGUAUUUUUGAGAAGUCCGAAUGUGGAAGGAUUUGUAAGCCCAUAUGUGUCUGGGCACAUUGUUUUUCGCCAUUGUAAAUUGCCGGGAAAAUUUAGCUUUUCAUUGUCGUGUAAGAGUUGGAGGACACACUGCGGUGAGCUAAUAAGUUAAGUUAGUUGCAAUUGUAAAACAUUGAAUUCUUCCAGAAUAAAACGUGUUCUACUACCACGGAUUAGUCUGCCCUUUCUUUCGGGAACCAAUGUGUGGGGUAGCCGUUUAAGGCAACUCCAAGUGACGCACGACGACAAUCUUUUAUUCGCAGUCCUAGGGCGACUGCAGGGGCAACUUGCGCUGGAAUGACGGUUUAGACGGCCAGCUAGAGGGUUGCCGGAGCUGGAGUGACGGUUUAGACGGCCAGCCAGGAUUUGUGUGAGCGCAGCCAGCGCUACGUACCGGCAGAGAAGUCGCAGCCAGCGACAGUGGCGUCGCAGUCAGCGACAUAGAGGGACGCAGCCAGCGUCGAACGCCGGUACGAACGAGUCGCAGCCAGCGACAAGGAGACGCAAGAAGCGUCAUUUGUGGAGACCGCAGCCAGCGGUCAGAAGGCGCAAGGAGGGCCAAGCAUCCGUGGCCGCAGCCAGCGGCACGAGCGUCAGAGACGCCAUUUUGGACGCGCAGAGGCGCCGCCAUUUUGGAGCUGGGGAAGAUGCAGCAUUCCCCCAGGAGGAGUGCCCGGCUGAACGGAGGGGAAGCCACCCCUAUAACAACAGUGAGUCAGCAGCCAGCCAGUAAUGGAGCAGGAACUCGGACGCGGGCGAACAUCACGGCGGCGUCGAUUCCUUGCCCGGCCACUACGGUGAGUACUACAGUAGCUUCCCAACCUAGAAGUACUGCUGUCACAGUUGCGAGUUCAGUACCGGAGGUGAACCAGCCCCUCGUGUUGGAACUCAUGGAGAGGAUUGUAGCGUUGGAGAGGGAGCUGGAGAAGGCUAGAUCCCUGGAAAGUGUGAGCACCGCCAAUUGCGCGCCGAUCGCAGUUGGCCCAAGCGCAGUUGGCGCCAACAGUGGAGCGUCGGGGCGGCCGCCAUUUUGGAGCGGCCAGCCAAUACCCACAUCUAACGGAGAGACCUUACAUAACGGGGUCGGGUCGGUGCCAUACAACGGUGACGGUGCGAGCGGUGCGGCCUGCACGCUGCCGCCAUCUUCGAGUGGACCGCCAUUGCUAACGACUAGCAACUAUUUUGUGGAGCCACUGUGUGCAACAGGCACUGCGCAGCCAGCGCAUGGACUCGUGCUACCGGGCGUGAGCAUCCACAAUGCGGCAACAGCAUCGCCACUUGUCGGAUCCUACGCCGCGACGACGCCGAGUGGAAUCCAGGGAGCAUAUGGGCCAUGGAAGCUUCCGGACUUUCCUAUAUUUGGAGGGCAGCCCGAGGAGUGGCCGAUCUUCAGCUGUGCGUUCGUGGAGACGACCCGAGCGUACAACUGCACGGACCUGGAGAACAACCAGAGGUUGUUGAAGGCGCUGAAGGACGAAGCGCGCGAGGCAGUGAAGGCGCCAUUGAUUCACCCAGGGAAUGUCAGCGCCGUGAUGGAGCAGCUGCGCUUUAGGUUCGGCCGACCGGAGCAGCUUAUACGCAGCCAGCUCAACAACGUGCGAGAGGUGCAGCCAAUUUCGGAGCACAAUUUGGCGAAGAUCAUUCCCUUCGCAACCCGAGUGAGUAACCUCGCGGCCUUCUUGCAGUCAGCGAAGGCGGAUCAACACCUGGGGAACCCAACCCUCAUGGAGGAGCUUGUGGCCAAGCUGCCAACGAGCAAGCGAGUGGACUGGGCCAGGCAUGCUGCAACGAUUGCGCCCUUUCCCACUGUAGUCCACUUCAGCGCGUGGUUACAGGAGUACGCGAACGUGGUGUGCACGGUUUUGGACGUCGAGGGAAAGGAGCCGAGGCGUCGACUUCUACAUGCAAGCGUCGACCAUAAUGAAUGCGAUCAACAGGAAGAUCGGCAUGGAGGUUGUCCCAUCUGUGGAGGACAGCAUGGAAUAUUGAAUUGCAGAAAAUUUAUUGGAGCUUCGCCACAGGUAAGGUGGAACAAUGUGAAGAGGCAUCGGCUCUGCUUCAAUUGCCUGCCAAACGGACACACGGCUAGAUCCUGCUAUACACAAGGUGAGUGCCAGAUUAAUGGAUGCCGAAGGAAGCAUCACCGUCUGCUACAUGGUGCGGACGAGGAGCGAAGGCCGCUGCAGCGGGGUGGCUUCAGACGCCACGAAGGGAACCAGCAGCCAGCAAUUUCCAGACGCAGCCCGGCCUGGAGGCCUUCGCUACGAGACGGUCAAAGGGACCAGGAGAGGAACCGGCAGCCAGCCGUUCCCAGCAACAGCCUGGAGAGAGGAGCUCCGCGUGAAGCGGGAGCGCCCAUGCAGAGGAAUUUGAGCUGCGUUGACGAAGGAGGCCAUCUACUGUUCCGUAUACUGCCGGUUACGCUGUACGGAGCGGGGCGAAAGGUGGAUACGUAUGCGCUCCUAGAUGAGGGAUCCUCCGUCACGAUGAUCGAUGACGAACUACGAAGGGAUCUUGGAGUGCAAGGAGAGCGUCGGCAGCUAAAUAUCCAAUGGUUUGGAGGUAAGGCAACCAGAGAGCCUACCAACGUGGUGUGUCUGAAGAUAAGUGGAGUUGGAAAGCCCACUCGCCAUGUAUUGAGAAACGUUUAUGCCGUUUCGAGUUUGAGUUUGCCGAUGCAGACAUUGAGCCAACGAGAUGUCCAGGGCGUGCACAGGGAUGCGCGUCUGCCGAUGAAGCCUUACAGCAACGUGGUGCCGAAGCUGCUCAUCGGCCUGGAUCACGGACAUCUGGGGUUGCCACUUAGGACGAGGCGGUUCGCUCGAGAGGGACUGUAUGCGGCCGCAACCGAGCUGGGCUGGGUUGUGUUUGGGCCUGUAAGUGGGCAACCGACCACGCCGUCACCGAGGUCCUGCCUACUUGCCGUGUCAGUGGAUGAAGCGAUGGAGAAGAUGGUGGAGGACUAUUUCGACAUGGUGAACUUUGGAGUGAAGACCGCGCCGCCGGUCGCAGCCAGCGACGAUGUUCGGGCCCAAAGGAUACUCGAAGACACCACGGUGAAAGUGGGGCGUCGCUACCAGACGGGAUUACUCUGGAAGGACGAUCACGUUGUGCUGCCACCGAGCUAUGAGAUGGCGUACAGGAGGCUGGUCAACGUCGAGAAGAAGAUGAAGCGCAACAAGACGUUGGCGCAGGAAUACGAUCGGAUUAUAAAGGAUUACGUGUCUAAAGGAUACGCGAGGAGGCUGCAGCCGGAGGAGGUCGCGGUAAGGAGCGAUCGCCUAUGGUAUUUGCCACAUUUUGGUGUCGAAAACCCAAAAAAGCCCGGCAAGGUACGGCUUGUGUUUGAUGCUGCAGCCAAAGUUGGAGGAACCUCGCUAAACUCGGAGCUGGACAAAGGGCCUCAGCACUAUAAGCCUUUGCCAGCUGUGCUCUUUCAUUUCAGAGAGGGAGCCGUCGGAGUCUGCGGUGACAUCAAGGAGAUGUUCCACCAAGUGCUGAUCCGACCCGAGGAUAGAUGUUCCCAACGAUUCCUCUGGAGAGAUGGCGACGACGAGAGAGAUCCGGAUGUCUAUGAGAUGAACGUAAUGACGUUUGGAGCAGCCUGCUCGCCGAGCGCUGCGCAUUACGUGAAGACUAUGAAUGCCCUGAAGUUUCGGGAUUCGGAUCCGAGAGCGGUCAAGGCCAUCACCGACUACCAUUAUGUCGAUGACUAUGUGGACAGUUUCGCUACAGAGAGCGAGGCUAUCAGCGUAUCUACCCGAGUGAAGGAGAUACACAAGGAUGCUGGAUUUGAAUUAUGCCAGUUUUCAUCCAGCUCACCCACCGUGGAGACGGCUUUAGGACCUGGUCAAGUCAAGAGCGUCGGAUGGGGUGAGGCUGAAGAGAAGAUCCUCGGAAUGCGUUGGCAAGUAGCAACAGAUGACUUCAGAUUCAACGUGGAGUAUCAUCGAGUGCCAAGCAGCGUCCUGAGUAGAGAUGGAGUCCCUACGAAGAGGGAAUAUUUAAGCCUGGUGAUGUCAACGUUUGAUCCCCUGGGAUUCCUGUGCUGCCUCAUGGUUACAGCGAAGCUGCUGCUGCAAGAGAUUUGGAGGCAGAAGAUCCAGUGGGACGAACCACUACCGGAGGAGUUAAGCAAAGCCUUUGCGAAUUGGCGCAAAGAGAUGGACGCCGUGGGACAGUUCCGAUGUACGCGCCAUUAUUUUGGGCGUGGAGCAGUCCGGGCCGUAGAGUUGCACGUCUUCGUGCAUGCUAGUCAGGCAGCAUUCGCGGCGGUGGCCUAUUGGAGGGUCACAUAUGAGGACGACGACGUGCAGGUGAGCUUCGUGAGUGCAAAGACGAAGUGUGCCCCAAUGAGAACGAUGACGAUCCCACGGCUGGAGCUACAGGCAGCAGUUCUUGGAACCAGGCUGAUGAACACUGUCAAGGAGGAGCACAGUGUGGUCAUCACGGACCUGGUGUUAUGGACGGACUCUAAGACGGUGCUGAGAUGGAUCGGCAACACCCACCCCCGGUAUAAGCAGUUUGUUGGCAACCGAGUGGCGGAGAUUUUGGAGUCGUCGAAGAAUUCCCAAUGGAGAUGGGUGCCUACAGCCGACAAUGCGGCUGAUGAUGCGACGCGGUCGCAGAAAGGAGUCGACCUUAGCCAGGAAUCAAGGUGGCUAAGAGGACCUGCAUUUUUGAGGCAGCCAGCAGCCAGCUGGCCGGGGCCUGAGGAAGGAACUGAGCGUGUUCCAGAUGCCCCUGAUGAAGAAGAGAUGCCCAGUGAGUUUGCAUUAGUUGCGGCAGACGAUUUUGUUAUUCCGUUUCAGAGAUUCUCGAGCUUCAGUCGCCUGCUGAGGACCGCAGCCUGGGUCCUACAGUUUGCGCGCUGGUGCCGCAAACAGCGAAACGAGCUCGAGGAAUACGGCCUUACUGCAGCAGAAUGUAAGGCCGCGGAGAACCUGUUGGUCAGACAGGCACAAUUGGAGUCGUUCCCCGACAAGAUGAGGUCGGCGGAAACCGGACAGGAUGUCGGUAGAUCAAGCGACAUUCGAGAGUUGGUGCCCUACCUAGACGAGGAUGGGAUUCUGCGAGCUUACGGCAGAAUUGAUGCCGCACUGUGCAUGCCGUACAGUGCGAGGAGGCCCGUAUUACUGCCACACAGGCACAGUAUGACAGAGCUGAUUGUGAGAGACUUCCACGCCAGGAUGAAGCAUCAAAAUGUGGAUGGGGCUACGAUUGCGGAGAUCCGGACAAAGUUCUGGGUCACAAAGAUGAGGCGUGUGAUGCGGAGAGUCAUCUCAUUGUGCGAGUGCAAGUUGCAGCGAGCGCGGCCGAUGCCGCCGAUAAUGGGACCCCAUCCGGAAGACAGACUGGAUGCGAGUGGAUGGCCAUUCAAAUACACAGGACUGGACUACUUUGGGCCACUGCUGGUGACUGUGUCCCGUCACAAGGAGAAGCGUUGGGUCGCCUUGUUUACGUGUUUGACGACAAGGGCGAUUCACCUGGAGCUGGCGCAUGACCUCUCGACGGAUUCCUGCAUAAUUGCGAUCAGGAACUUCGUCUGCCAUAGAGGGCCAGUAUAUAGACUGCGCAGCGAUAACGGCAAGAACUUCGUGGGAGCUGACAGGGAAGCCAGGCGCUUUGGUGACGAGAGAUGGACGAGAUGGAGAAGCUUCAGAGUGAGUUGUCAAGCAGAAGCAUUGAAUGGGUUUUUAAUUGUCCAGCGAACCCGUCUGAGGGCGGAGUUUAGGAGCGCCUGGUGCAGUGCGUCAAGAGAGUACUGCGUCAUACCCUGAAGGAAGUUGCGCCGAGGGACCAUGUAUUGGAGAGUUUCCUGAUUGAGGCGGAGAAUAUUGUAAACUCGCGUCCGCUCACCCACUUGCCUGUGGAACGGAACAGGAGGCGCCGUUGACGCCAAACGAUCUACUCAAGCCAAUCUGACGGAUACGCCUGGAUUGGAUGCGGAGCUGCCCAAGGAGGGUUCUACGAGGAAGCAGUGGAGGAUUGCUCGCCUGCUACGAGACCGUUUCUGGAGGAGGUGGGUCAUGGAGUACCUGCCUACGCUUGUGCGCCGCGAGAAGUGGUGCCGCCGAACGGAGCCCAUCCACCAGGGUGGUCUUCGUCUGCGAUCCUGCUUUGGCCCGACGAGAGUGGCGCAAGGGCAUCGUGGAGGAGAUCUACAGCGGAGCUGAUGGAGUCGUCAGACGCGCUAAGGUGCGCGUGAACGACAACGGCCUAUCUAGGACAAUGAUGCGACCCGUCUCUAAACUUGCAGUUUUUGAUUUGAGUGAAGCGGUUCUUCACGGGGUCGGGAAUGUCGCGGAUCGAAUAUUGUUAUCGAUAGGCUAGUUAGUAUUUUUGAGAAGUCCGAAUGUGGAAGGAUUUGUAAGCCCAUAUGUGUCUGGGCACAUUGUUUUUCGCCAUUGUAAAUUGCCGGGAAAAUUUAGCUUUUCAUUGUCGUGUAAGAGUUGGAGGACACACUGCGAAUAAAACGUGUUCUACUACCACGGAUUAGUCUGCCCUUUCUUUCGGGAACCAAUGUGUGGGGUAGCCGUUUAAGGCAACUCCAAGUGACGCAC